GUGAUUCAUGAUAACUUAACGAAUCGCAUGGCCUUGCGCGGCGAUGGUUCAUUCAAAUUUCUGCCCUAUCAACUUUCGAUGGUAGGAUAGUGGCCUACCAUGGUUUCAACGGGUAACGGGGAAUUAGGGUUCUAUUCCGGAGAGGGAGCCUGAGAAACGGCUACCACAUCCAAGGAAGGCAGCAGGCGCGCAAAUUACCCAAUCCCGACACGGGGAGGUAGUGACAAUAAAUACUGAUACAGGGUUCUUUUGGAUCUUGUAAUUGGAAUGAGUACAAUUUAAAUCCCUUAACGAGGAACAAUUGGAGGGCAAGUCUGGUGCCAGCAGCCGCGGUAAUUCCAGCUCCAAUAGCGUAUAUUAAAGUUGUUGCAGUUAAAAAGCUCGUAGUUGAACCUUGGGCCUGGCUGGCCGGUCCGCCUAACCGCGUGCACUGGUUCGGCCGGGCCUUUCCUUCUGGCCAACCUCAUGCCCUUCACUGGGUGUGCUGGGGAUCCAGGACUUUUACUUUGAAAAAAUUAGAGUGUUCAAAGCAGGCCUAUGCUCGAAUACAUUAGCAUGGAAUAAUAGAAUAGGACGGCGGUUCUAUUUUGUUGGUUUCUAGAGCCACCGUAAUGAUUAUAGGGAUAGUCGGGGGCAUCAGUAUUCAAUUGUCAGAGGUGAAAUUCUU
rnacentral:rRNA from 1 species